UACGUAGGGUGCGAGCGUUAUCCGGAAUUACUGGGCGUAAAGCGCGCGUAGGCGGCUAGAUAAGUCGGAUGUGAAAGCCCCGGGCUCAACCUGGGAACUGCAUACGAUACUGUUUGGCUAGAGUAUGAGAGAGGGAGGUAGAAUUCCACGUGUAGCGGUGAAAUGCGUAGAUAUGUGGAGGAAUACCGGUGGCGAAGGCGGCCUCCUGGCUUGAUACUGACGCUGAGGUGCGAAAGCGUGGGGAGCAAACAGG
rnacentral:rRNA from 1 species